GUUAUACUCCCUCCGUCCCAAAAUUCUUAUCUUAGAUUUGUCUAAAUACGGAUGUAUCAAGUCACGUUUUAGUAUUAGAUACAUCCGUAUCUAGGCAAAUCUAAGACAAGAAUUUUGGGAUGGAGGGAGUACAUG
rnacentral:pre_miRNA from 1 species